rnacentral:tRNA from 1 species
GGGGAUUUAGUUCAGUGGUAGAGCACUUGCCUAGGAAGCGCAAGGCCCUGGGUUCGAUCCCCAGCUCCG